rnacentral:tRNA from 1 species
GGGCUCGUAGCUCAGAUGGUUAGAGUGCCUGCUUGACAUGCAGGAGGUCCCCAGUUCGAUCCUGGGCGGGCCCACAA